GAAAUGCGAUAAGUAAUGUGAAUUGCAGAAUUCAGUGAAUCAUCGAAUCUUUGAACGCACAUUGCGCCCGCCAGUAUUCUGGCGGGCAUGCCUGUUCGAGCGUCAUUACAACCCUCAGGCCCCCGGGCCUGGCGUUGGGGAUCGGCGGAAGCCCCCUGCGGGCACAACGCCGUCCCCCAAAUACAGUGGCGGUCCCGCCGCAGCUUCCAUUGCGUAGUAGCUAACACCUCGCAACUGGAGAGCGGCGCGGCCACGCCGUACAACACCCAACUUCUGAAUGUUGACCUCGAAUCAGGUAGGAAUACCCGCUGAACUUAAGC
rnacentral:misc_RNA from 1 species